rnacentral:rRNA from 1 species
UACGGAGGGGGCUAGCGUUGUUCGGAAUUACUGGGCGUAAAGCGCACGUAGGCGGCUUGGUAAGUUAGAGGUGAAAGCCUGGAGCUCAACUCCAGAAUUGCCUUUAAGACUGCCGAGCUAGCAGGUGAGAGAGGUGAGUGGAAUUCCGAGUGUAGAGGUGAAAUUCGUAGAUAUUCGCAAGAACACCAGUGGCGAAGGCGGCUCACUGGCCCGAUACUGACGCUGAGGCACGAAAGCGUGGGGAUCAAACAGG